rnacentral:lncRNA from 1 species
UGGAAUUUUAUUCAAUGAGCAGUGUAUCUUAAUCAUCAACUGGCGAAUUAGACUCUAAAUUGUAGUGCUUUUAUUUGACUCCAAACAUGUGAAUAAUAUAAAAGAAUUUAUAUGAACAAAGGCAAAAAAUGUAGUGCUUUUAUUUGACUUCAAACAUGUUAGUACAAGUGAAGAAGCUGAUGACAGCACUUUAACUUUAUGAGUUUUUCAGACCCUACAUCCACAUUUAAAGAGCAAGGGUAUAGUGAAACUCAUUUUUACAGCAUACUAAGAAAUCAAGAAAAAAAUCCCAUUCUGAAAAACUCAAAUAAAAUUAUAGCUUCAGUAGAAUCCAAUAUGAUCAUUUGUAAUGCAGCUUCACCAAGAGGUUCCCCCUGCAAAAGCAGGGACUUGGAUCAACUACACCUCAUAUUAAAAUGAUUAUAUCAUCAUUAGCAAUUAAGCGCUUGAAACAACGUAAAGUUAUCUCCAUACGACCUAAUUGUCAUGGGCUCGAACGGUAGAAACAGACACUUAUGCUUGCAUUGUUGCUCAGACCCUCCAUAAACACAAGACGCUUCGCACAUCGAGCAAUAAAAACAAAAACUUUUACUAGAUAUGAUGCAAUUAUAUAAAUUGAGUCACUUACUAAAAGUACUUUUUUAUAAGGAAAACUGAAAGAAGAUUAAAGAGACCUCAGAAAUUAAGGUAAAUUUAAAAUCAAAGGAGCUGUUAAACUCCUCAUAUGGUACGGACAAUUACCAUACAUCACUGGCCUCUUAAUAACCAAAAUCAAUCAUUUCUUAAUAACACACUUUAAAACAUUUUUUCCAACCAUAAAAGCUAAGACUAAGUGUAAAACGUAAUUUUCUUAAUGAAAUUGAGGCUCAGAUAAUUAAACAGCUCUAUCAAUCACGGAAUUUCAGAAGCAGAACUGGCAUUAAAGCUGUAUUUAUAUAUCAUCACUGCCAAAAUUCAAAUAAGCUGAAUAAUUUUUCUUUUGUCAAAAAUUCACUUUAUUCUAAAAUAAAGUGAAAAAUAAGAAAAUAUAGGCUCAUAUUAAGAAAUUCAACCAUUAUUUUAUCGUUUGCUUCAUAGAUUACUCUCAGAAGCGCGGAUAAAUUUUUAAAUCAUAGCCAACAUAUUAAAAAAUCCCAAAUUAGAAAAACAAAAACUUCCAAUAAAAAGUAUACAAUAUAGCAGUGGACUUAGGAGUAAAACAGUAAGAAAAAUGCAAUAAACCCCACGUUGACACUGCUAUUUUAAUUUCAGCCUCGUUGACUAGCUUUGUUUUUUCACUGAAUCAGAAGAAAAUAAGCUAAAGGUGAUAUGAGGCAUUUUUUUGUUAAAUUAAAAACAAAUUAACACAGAAAUAUUGUAAAGAGGAUUUAAUGUAGCCGUUGAUUUUGACACAGAUAAAGCCAAGGGUAAAGAAGGUACAAAAGGGCUAAACUGCAACACUAGCGGCGGUAGAUAUAGCACGAGCUUUGGGGCUGCUAACUUCAUGUAAAAAUUGCUCAGGCGAGACCGGGAGGCUACGUGCAGACUGCAGACUUACAAUUUUGCUUAGCUGAAAUGAAACGAAAAGAGAAAAAUAAGUACACAAGUAAAGGUAAAUGACCUCAGAUCAAUGAUUUGAAGGUUCAUAUCGUUAUUUUGAACAUGUUCAUUUACUCUGAUUCCGACCAUUAUUUCAGACGCCAUUGGAGGGAAGAGGAGAAGAGGUAGGGUAUUAUAAUAAGGAGGAGGCUAUAUAAGAAGCAGAGCUGUGGCUUAGUUAUAUAGAAGAGAGGAGGGGGUCAGUGAAACCCUAAUUGCGCCGUUGUGGAUCUGUGAAGCUAAUGGGCUCUUCUUUCCACAAUUAAAAUGUAAGAAUAUGAAUUCAUAUAUAAAAGAAAUAAAUUGAAGUCAAGUAUAGAAGGAGAUUGAUAUUUUAUUCAAUUUUCAAAAUUAUGUUCAUAAUGAACUGAAAACUUCUCUAUUUAUAGAAGAAAGGAAGCAGCUGCGAG